ACGGUUCUGUUACGGUGUAGA
rnacentral:miRNA from 1 species